AUAUUUGAAUCUGUAGACUAAGUAUAGAAAGUUGACACACAGCCCCUCCACCUACACAGUGUGGGAAAGCAUCAUCUGGUCCAGGUUUUUGGUGAUAUUAACUUAACAAACAUGUGGAGCACCAGGACUUGAGAAAGAGAACAGUAAUAUUCAGAAUCAAAGAUAUGAGAAGAAUACAUGUCUCUUGCCUGCAGGCCUCCAAGGGACGUCAGUGGGGAAAGUGAUCAUCAGGGUUGGAGAAUGAGGCUCUUCUCUUACCACUGAUACAGGCCUGAAAGGAUGCCCAUCAUUCAUCAUUAAAUCACAGAGCUCCAUCUAGACCCUCAGUCUUAUGGGGUGAAAAGCAUUAUCUACCAGAAGGGCACCUUUCUCCUUCCCACAGUGCAGCUGAAAAUGAACCUGUGACAAGGGUGAAAUAGAGACACUCCUUCUCUACACUCAAGAAAUUCCCAGGUCUAAGUCUAAAGGACCCUUACUCUUCUCUUUGUUAUCAUAUUCUAUGCCCCCCUUUUUAAUUAAGACUUCUUCGUGCAUAAAGUGACUUCUUCCAUUAAAUUUGGUAAUUUAAAUCUGAUAUCAAAGAAAAAUAUUAGUAUUUUCACAUGACAUUGAUUUUAUACUUCCAAAAAUUCUCUUCCUUUUUGCCCAAUUUUCACUGAUGUUCUUUUUAAAUUAUUACUAAUUUUAUUGUCAAUGACUUAAUGUCCACAUAAUGUCGACCACCAUACUUAUCUAAGUACGUACGCACUUUCAUGAGUAUGAAAACAAAAUAUUCUAAAUGAUUUAAAAUGUGUGCAUCAGAAUGUUUAAAAAUAGAAGUAACUGAGCUAUCACAGCUUUGACCAUUCUCCAAAGAUACCACUUUAUCAUUGGUAUGAUGACAGACCUACUCACCCCAGAUUUCACUCUGGGCAUCCCUCCAACAUAAUGGCCAUCUCCCACUCGUGUUUUACCCCAUGAGAAAUAAAUGAAAGCAUCUGGGGCCUUCUCUUCUUGAACUGAUACUUUGAUGUCAUUACUAAACGGGUUACAACAUGUGAACUGAUAGAUUAUUUAACAGCUAUGUGAAACACAAGGUAAGAAUUCAGUGUUGAGACAUACUGCAAAGAUCUGUAAAUGAAGGCUAUUUUUGCUCAAUUUUGUCCAGUGUUAAGCAACUAAGAUUACAUGCUAGAACUUAAACACUCAGAGCUAAAGAAAGCUGCUUUGAAAGCCGGGCGUGGUGGCGCACGCCUUUAAUCCCAGCACUCGGGAGGCAGAGGCAGGUGGAUUUCUGUGUUCGAGGCCAGCCUGGUCUACAAAGUGAGUUCCAGGACAGCCAGGGCUAUACAGAGAAACCCUGUCUUGGAAAAAACAACAACAACAACAAGAAAGAAAGAAAGAAAGAAAGAAAGAAAGAAAGAAAGAAAGAAAGAAAGAAAGAAAGAAAGAAAGAAAGAAAGAAAGAAAGGAAGGAAGGAAGAAAGAAAGAAUGCUGCUUUGAAGAAACAUCCAAAUAAAUACAAGCCAACCAGCAGCAUAAUUCACAAAUAUGCUGUGUAAGACAGCAACCUCAAAGACUCAGUGUAACAGUUCCCACAUCUUUGCCUCUGUGUUACCAGAUAAGAAAGCUAGUCUCUAACCAUACACAAUGUUUUAAUGCAUUUAUUUGGCCAGCUUCUUUCUGUUUCUAAGAUUACUAUUUCUGUCAUUCUAUGUUCUAUAAGAUACUAGACUUUGAUAAUGCUUACCACAGAUGAUCUAAGUAUUUCCCAUUCCAUGUCUCCUCCAAUUUUUAUAUCAACCAAAACAAAGUUAGGACUCAGCUUCCCUGAAUGUCUUUCCACUCCAGUCAUGGGUAUGCUAAUGUUUGCUGCUAAUGUUCUUUAUUAUGCAGCAUAGGGCCAAACUAUCUGAGCUCCCAUUGCAGCUACCAGCAAAACCCACCUUGUUACUUGAAUGCAAAAUCUUUUCCCAUUUCCUCAAUGCCUCCCCCCUGAGACCCUGUCUCCAUGAGCCUUUGGGUCACUUCCCUCUGUUUGAACAAUCUGAUAAGAUGCCCCUUUCUUUGUAUUACAACCCAUAGGAGAAAAAUUCUCAUUUUGGUGGAUAAACCAUCAAAAUUCUUAAUAGUACUUACCAUAAUUUAAAAUACUAGGAUGAUGAUAUUUUCUUAAAUUACUGACAACUUUAUAGUGUUUUAUAGCAUGUUUAAUCCAAAGAUACCCAUUUCUACUUUUUCUCCUCAAAUAAUGAAACAUCUAUAACCAGCAUUGAAUAAUGGCUCAGUGCCUGCACAAACCAUAGCACAUGCAGUAAGGAAGGAGCUGUGUAAAGGGACUCAUCUGUAGAGAAGCAUAUGGGCUAGAGAGACGGUUCAGAGAGAAAUGGCAACUGCCACCUGUUGGGAGCCGCCCCCACAUUCGCCGUUACAAGAUGGCGCUGACAUCCUGUGUUCUAAGUGGUAAACAAAUAAUCUGCGCAUGUGCCAAGGGUAUCUUAUGACUACUUGUGCUCUGCCUUCCCCGUGACGUCAACUCGGCCGAUGGGCUGCAGCCAAUCAAGGAGUGACACGUCCGAGGCGAAGGAGAAUGCUCCUUAAGAGGGACGGGGUUUUCGUUUUCUCUCUCUCUUGCUUCGCUCUCUGGCUUCUCUCUCUUGCUUCGCUCUCUGGCUUCUCUCUCUUGCUUCUCUCUCUUGCUUCUCUCUCUUGCUUC
rnacentral:lncRNA from 1 species